AGAGAAUAGAUACCCGGGUAGUCCACGCUGUAAACGAUGAGAACUAGAUGUUGUGAGGGGAAACCUUUCAGUAUCGAAAGCUAAACGCGAUAAGUUCUCCGCCUGGGAAGUACAUUCGCAAGAAUGAAACUCAAAAGAAUUGACGGGGGCCCGCACAAGCGGUGGAGCAUGUGGUUUAAUUCGAUGCAACGCGAAGAACCUUACCUACCCUCGACAUCCUGCGAAUCCCGAUGAGAGUUGGGAGUGCCGCAAGGAACGCAGAGACAGGUGCUGCAUGGCUGUCGUCAGCUCGUGUUGUGAGAUGUUGGGUUUAAGUCCCGUAACGAGCGCAACCCUUGCCCUUAGUUGCCAUCAUUUAGUUGGGGACUCUAAGGGGACCGCCGGUGAUGAACCGGAGGAAGGCGGGGUACGACGUCAAGUCAUCAUGGCCUUUAUGGGUAGGGCUACACACGUGCUACAAUGGGGCGUACAGAGGGUCGCCAACCCGCGAGGGGUAGCCAAUCUCUUAAAACGCGUCUCGUAGUCCGGAUUGGAGUCUGCAACUCGAC
rnacentral:rRNA from 1 species